rnacentral:rRNA from 1 species
AGGACGAACGCUGGCGGCGUGCUUAACACAUGCAAGUCGAACGAGGCCCUACCUUCGGGUAGGUGACCUAGUGGCGAACGGGUGAGUAACACGUGGGCAACCUACCCUCAGCUCUGGGAUAACCCCGGGAAACCGGAGCUAAUACCGGAUAUGACCUUGAACGACAUCGUUCUUGGUGGAAAGUUUUUCGGCUGAGGAUGGGCCCGCGGCCUAUCAGCUUGUUGGCGGGGUAAUGGCCCACCAAGGCGACGACGGGUAGCCGGCCUGAGAGGGCGAUCGGCCACACUGGGACUGAGACACGGCCCAGACUCCUACGGGAGGCAGCAGUGGGAAUAUUGCGCAAUGGGCGAAAGCCUGACGCAGCGACGCCGCGUGAGGGAUGAAGGCCUUCGGGUUGUAAACCUCUUUCAGCAGGGACGAAGCGAAAGUGACGGUACCUGCAGAAGAAGCACCGGCAACUACGUGCCAGCAGCCGC